rnacentral:rRNA from 1 species
GGACCCGCACAAGCGGUGGAGUAUGUGGUUUAAUUCGAUGCAACACGAAGAACCUUACCAGGGUUUGAAAUCAUUUCAAAACUCCUUGAAAGAGGAGCCUCCUUCGGGAUGAAAUGACAGGUGGUGCAUGGCUGUCGUCAGCUCGUGUUGUGAAAUGUCGAGUUAAGUCUCGUAACGAGCGCAACCCAUGUCUCUUGUUGCUCACUGAGUGCUUAAGAGAGACUGCCGACCAACAUCGGAGGAAGGUGUGGAUGAUGUCAAGUCAGCAUGCCCCUUACAUCCUGGGCUACACACGUACUACAAUGGUAGGGACAAUGAGCUGCGAUCCUGCGAAGGC